GACGAACGCUGGCGGCGUGCUUAACACAUGCAAGUCGAACGGAAAGGCCCUGCUUUUGUGGGGUGCUCGAGUGGCGAACGGGUGAGUAACACGUGAGUAACCUGCCCUUGACUUUGGGAUAACUUCAGGAAACUGGGGCUAAUACCGGAUAGGAGCUCCUGCUGCAUGGUGGGGGUUGGAAAGUUUCGGCGGUUGGGGAUGGACUCGCGGCUUAUCAGCUUGUUGGUGGGGUAGUGGCUUACCAAGGCUUUGACGGGUAGCCGGCCUGAGAGGGUGACCGGCCACAUUGGGGCAGAGUACAGACCCAGACGCCUCCGGGAGGCAGCAGUGGGGAAGAUUGCACAAUGGGCGGAAGCUGGAUGCAGCAACGCCGCGUGGGGGAUGACGGGCGUCGGGUUGUAAACCGCUUUCGCCUGUGACGAAGCGUGAGUGACGGUAAGGGGUAAAGAAGCACCGGCUAACUACG
rnacentral:rRNA from 1 species